rnacentral:lncRNA from 1 species
CCCUAGUCACUUUAUAUCAUUUACAAGUUGUUGAGAUGGUUGACACAGUUUUCGAUGCAUUCGGAGGUGAUUUAUGUGAUUUUGUGGUUUUGCAUAGACUUUAAAGUGAACUGGUGGACUUUGAUCAAUAUAUUGUGAUUCGAGCAUUGGAUGAGAGUUUCAUCAAUUCCAUUAGAUCCAAAACAUCCAUUUUGGAAGACAUUUG